AUGAAAUGAAUUGCAUUCUGUCAUCAUGUAUAACAAAUUAGAAUAAAUAAAAAAUUUAAUAAAAAAGUAAUGUCUAUCAGAAGAAGCCAGACACAAAAGUGUACCAACAUGUAUAAUUUCAUUACUAUAAAAUUCUAAAACCAGCAAAACUAAUCUAUGGUAUUAGAAGUUAGGUUGAUUACUUUUGGAAGGGUUAAUGUAUUGUUUAAUUUUGCUGAUGAUUGUAUGGGUAUGUUUUAUGAAAAUUCAUGAAGCUGUGUAUUUAUGGUUUGUGUGUUGUAUGCAUGUUGCAUUUCAAUAAAAAGUACAGCGAUAUUGGGGGCUGGGAUUGUGGCUCAGCAGUAGAGUGCUCGUCUAGCAUGGGUGGGACCCGGGUUCGAUCCUCAGCAC
rnacentral:lncRNA from 1 species